UCCCAGACGAACGCUGGCGGCGUGCCUAAUACAUGCAAGUAGAACGCUGAAGAGAGGAGCUUGCUCUUCUUGGAUGAGUUGCGAACGGGUGAGUAACGCGUAGGUAACCUGCCUUGUAGCGGGGGAUAACUAUUGGAAACGAUAGCUAAUACCGCAUAACAAUGGAUGACACAUGUCAUUUAUUUGAAAGGGGCAAUUGCUCCACUACAAGAUGGACCUGCGUUGUAUUAGCUAGUAGGUGAGGUAACGGCUCACCUAGGCGACGAUACAUAGCCGACCUGAGAGGGUGAUCGGCCACACUGGGACUGAGACACGGCCCAGACUCCUACGGGAGGCAGCAGUAGGGAAUCUUCGGCAAUGGGGGCAACCCUGACCGAGCAACGCCGCGUGAGUGAAGAAGGUUUUCGGAUCGUAAAGCUCUGUUGUAAGUCAAGAACGAGUGUGAGAGUGGAAAGUUCACACUGUGACGGUAGCUUACCAGAAAGGGACGGCUAACUACGUGCCAGCAGCCGCGGUAAUACGUAGGUCCCGAGCGUUGUCCGGAUUUAUUGGGCGUAAAGCGAGCGCAGGCGGUUUGAUAAGUCUGAAGUUAAAGGCUGUGGCUCAACCAUAGUUCGCUUUGGAAACUGUCAAACUUGAGUGCAGAAGGGGAGAGUGGAAUUCCAUGUGUAGCGGUGAAAUGCGUAGAUAUAUGGAGGAACACCGGUGGCGAAAGCGGCUCUCUGGUCUGUAACUGACGCUGAGGCUCGAAAGCGUGGGGAGCGAACAGGAUUAGAUACCCUGGUAGUCCACGCCGUAAACGAUGAGUGCUAGGUGUUGGAUCCUUUCCGGGAUUCAGUGCCGCAGCUAACGCAUUAAGCACUCCGCCUGAGACGUCUACUUGG
rnacentral:rRNA from 1 species